AAAUAUUCAAAAAUGGUAUUUAUAGCAAAGCUUUUUUAUUAAUCAGAUUGUACACUAGUUUUAGCAUUUUAGCUAUCAAUACAAACGAACUGGCGAUAAUAACAUAUGUAAGAGAUAAAACAUCCUCAUGAUCUCCUUUGAAAUAUAAUUGCAACAUAUUUCCUCACAGAUGGCUAGAUGCUCUGAAUCGUCCUAAAAUGUACAAAAGAUGCAUUUCCUCAAUAUGCACGUUCAUCCAAAAAAUGAACUUUCGCUAGCUAAAUAAGCAUAGUGCAUGAGCACUUCUAUUUCCAGCAAUUAGAGCAUAGGAGUAUAGUGAGGUGGCAACAAGUAGGAAAACUCGUAGAACUACCUCGGAUAAUGGCAACCAGAUGGAUAACUUAUUCCCAUAACUCCUCUAUUGGCAACGAUCGUGUCAUAUCUCAAUUUAUAAUCAGCUCUUUCUCUUUCUCAAUCUUCAGUGCCAACUCUUUCUUUUCUAUAGAUGGAGUGACCAACUUGAAUCCAUAAUCAGCUUGAGUGCCCAUCUCAAUGAUCUCAUCUGCAUCAUAUUUCUUUGGCAUUCUUACCUAAGCUCUUGUAGCUGACCAUAAAUCACAUUGCAGCAACAACAAAUAAGCCAAAUGCAAUUCACAAUAUCCCGGAAUGAAAUAUAGCUAAAAUCACAAAUAUAAUUUACAUCACAAUCACUAUAACAGACAAUAAAGAAAACUCACAAGCGCACAAUACAUACAGGACCUUGCAACUAUUUGAACAGACUCACAAGCUCACAGUCAUUAGUACAUUUCGAACAGAGCUCACAACUAUUUGAACAGACUCAAUAACAUAAAGAACAAAUCAACAAUCGUGAACUGAAGGUCCAUUUGGAAAUAAAAUUAAUACAUUUCGAACAGACCUCACAACUAUUUGAACAAGCUCACAAACAUAAGGAACAAACCAACAAUUGUGAACAGAAAGUCCAUUUUUCCAAGAAAUCAAAAUCUGCAAUAUUAAGGGGAGACCGUAUUAUUUUUUUGGUACUUCCACAGAUCCAAAUACCCAAAAGAGAUUUCAACAUCAAACACCCAAAAUCAUGUCGACACCCUGCUCUAUUUCAAGCCAAAAAAGUAGAAAGGCUCAAACAAAAUCGAAAUCCCUAUAGCAAACAAUAUUUGGCAGAACGAAAAUCCCCAAAAUAAUUCGAUCAAAAUCAGAAACCCUAUGCCAAGAAACAUGUAAUACAUCAUGUUCCAUUUUAAAUCAAAACACCCAUGGAAAUUUCGAACAAAAUCAUAAAUACAAAAUCGUUUACAAAUCUGAAUCACAAAUAAAGAACAAGCAAAACACAAAAACUCGAACGAAAGCCAUGAACACAUUUACUCACCUGUUCAAUAUUUGCAAAAAUUGUUUCUUGAAGCAGCAAUCGAACAAAACUCAAAAACCCAUUGCCUUACUUGUUCGAUUUCAAACGUCCACCACGCCGACCCCCUCGUUCGCCGCGACGACGCCAUGGAAAAAGAAAGAGGCUAGUUAUUUUGCAGAGAAUGUGAGAGACGACCGAGGGGUUGAGGAAUGAGAGAGAGAGAGAGAGAGAGAGGUUGAAGAACGUGAGGAGUGAUUUUAGGGCUUGCAGUUUUU
rnacentral:lncRNA from 1 species